rnacentral:lncRNA from 1 species
CUGACCAAAAUGCAGGGAGAACUGAUUCUUUUUAUUAGAUUAUUGUAACAAACCAGGUCCUACUACCAUAGAAGUUUCAGUAACUGUUAAGUAAAACACUCAGUUUUUGUAGAAGUCUUAAGUUCAUCUAAUCUAAUGAAUGGAUUGUUAAUCAAACUUUUGAAGAGGUACCAUUUCAACCUUAAACUUUUAAUGAUUAUUUUAUUAAUUCAUUAACUUCAAAAAUCCAUAUUACCUUUCAAAUAGUUUUAUAAUUAACGCAGGCAAAUGCCCAAGAAAAUACACUAAUCUUAUUCAACAUCUUCAAAUCUUCAAAUGUUGUCCUGAGAUCUAAGAGUAGGACAUUCAAACCAUAGAUCCUAAAAUUAUCAGAUCAGUUCUUUGAUGCUGGAACAUGUUGACCUUAAGAGACAUUGUAGUGAAUUGAGAGUAGGGGGAGAAAAUGUUUGGUGAAAUAUCAAGACUAGACACAUAGGAGCAAAUUACAGAAAGGAAGAAGUAUUAAGGAUGAGGAAGAGCUGAGCCCCAGCCUAUCUUAGGAUGUCAACCAAGAAGAGCUUUGGAACAUGACCUCAUUGCAUCCUGGAGUUGUUAGAGCAACUGGGCCAAGGAUGGUGAGCCCCAGGCAUGGUAAGUUCUGCUUAUCGUUCUAAGAAA